UACGAAGGGGGCUAGCGUUGCUCGGAAUUACUGGGCGUAAAGCGCGUGUAGGCGGGUCGGCAAGUCAGGCGUGAAAUCCCCAGGCUCAACCUGGGAACUGCGCUUGAAACUGCCGGUCUUGAGUAUCGGAGAGGGUGGCGGAAUUCCUGGUGUAGAGGUGAAAUUCGUAGAUAUCAGGAGGAACACCGGUGGCGAAGGCGGCCACCUGGACGAUAACUGACGCUGAGACGCGAAAGCGUGGGGAGCAAACAGG
rnacentral:rRNA from 1 species